rnacentral:rRNA from 1 species
UACGGAGGGGGCUAGCGUUGUUCGGAAUUACUGGGCGUAAAGCGCACGUAGGCGGCUUUGCAAGUUAGAGGUGAAAGCCCGGGGCUCAACUCCGGAAUUGCCUUUAAAACUGCAUCGCUAGAAUUGUGGAGAGGUAAGUGGAAUUCCGAGUGUAGAGGUGAAAUUCGUAGAUAUUCGGAAGAACACCAGUGGCGAAGGCGGCCAUCUGGGACAACACUGACGCUGAAGCACGAAAGCGUGGGGAGCAAACAGG